UAGUACUCAAAGGUACCGUUUAGUUCGGGUAUAAACAAGAACUAGCUAUUACAGGGAUAAGUACAAGUAUGAGGAUAAGAAAAAAAGUGUUUGGAUGAAAAUUGGGUUGUUCUCGGGGAUAAGAAUAAUUUUAAAUAGUUUUGUAUAGAAAAUGAAGGUGUUGGUGGGGAUAAUCGAAAAUUACUAUUCUCGGAUAAAAAAUUAACGUUUUGGUAUAAAAGGGGGGAUAAGGGCCUAUUUCUAUCCCUCCCUAUUCCCUAACCAAACGGUGCCAAAAAGAGGCAAAAAAAAGUAAAAUAAAAUAAAAUAAAAUAU
rnacentral:lncRNA from 1 species